rnacentral:rRNA from 1 species
GAUGAACGCUAGCGGCAGGCUUAAUACAUGCAAGUCGAGGGGCAGCAUGACUGUAGCAAUACAGUUGAUGGCGACCGGCAAACGGGUGCGGAACACGUACAGAACCUUCCUUCGAGCGGGGAAUAGCCCAGAGAAAUUUGGAUUAAUACCCCAUAGUCUUACGGAGUGGCAUCACUUUGUAAUUAAAGAUUUAUCACUUGAAGAUGGCUGUGCGGCUGAUUAGGUAGUUGGCGGGGUAACGGCCCACCAAGCCUGCGAUCAGUAACUGGUGUGAGAGCACGACCAGUCACACGGGCACUGAGACACGGGCCCGACUCCUACGGGAGGCAGCAGUAAGGAAUAUUGGUCAAUGGACGAAAGUCUGAACCAGCCAUGCCGCGUGGAGGAUGAAGGUCCUCUGGAUUGUAAACUUCUUUUAUAUGGGACGAAAAAAGGCUUUUCUAAGUCGUCUGACGGUACCAUAUGAAUAAGCACCGGCUAACUCCGUGCCAGCCGCCGCCGUAACAC